rnacentral:rRNA from 1 species
UACGGAGGGUGCAAGCGUUAUCCGGAUUCACUGGGUUUAAAGGGUGCGUAGGCGGGCAGAUAAGUCCAUGGUGAAAUCUCUGAGCUUAACUCAGAAACUGCCAUGGAUACUAUUUGUCUUGAAUAUUGUGGAGGUAAGCGGAAUAUGUCAUGUAGCGGUGAAAUGCUUAGAUAUGACAUAGAACACCAAUUGCGAAGGCAGCUUACUACACAGUUAUUGACGCUGAGGCACGAAAGCGUGGGGAGUCAAACAGGA